AAUUGUAGCAGUUCAUUUGAUCUGUUGCUAUAGUGACCAUUUUUUUGUGUGCUCACAGAACUUACAGAUACUUCAUUUGCCAUCGACCUUGGUUUCAAAAUAACCAAUGUAACCCAGGAGUCUCUAAGUAAUAGACUCACACUCACCAAUGAGACCGAGAUCCAGAUACAGGAUUCAAUUAACAAACUACUCCAUAAGGUUCUCAGUGAACCAGACGGCAAACAGUUUCAAUUUCCCAUCGCCGACUUCAUUGAUGAUGGCACUGAAAUCACGGCAAACGUGACGUAUGUAUACAAAGAGGAAGAUGUCAACCACCCUAGUAGUUUUCUACAGGAAGUCUUAAAAGUCUCAGGU